GUGCUCACUUCAGCAGCACAUGUACUAAAACUGGAACAAUACAGAGAAGAUUCGCAUGGCCCCUGCAUGAGGAUGACAUGCAAAUUUGUGAACUCUAAAAAAAAAAA
ensembl:snRNA U6 U6 spliceosomal RNA